AUCACAGAUUAGAGCCCAGUUCUGCUGAGAAAGCUCAGGUUUUUAAUCAAUAUGAUAAGACUUCCGCUUAGCAUCAUCUUCUAAUAAUCUUUUGAGUAAAAACAGGGAUAGAUCAACAGGUAGUAGGUGAAUCAGGCAACUGACAAUCAAAAGACAUACAGAAACAAAUGUAAGUAUAAUCAAGCAUAUCAUCAUAUACAUGGAUGUGCAGGGGUGUUUGUAGAUCACAGAGAUAUAAUGAUACAAUCCGGGAUCAAAAGAAGGAAAAUCAGAAGUGAGAGUGAGGUCAGAGGAAAUGACAUGGAAAGUGUUUUUCAUCCUUUCCCUGGGCAAGUUGAGGACAUCUCUGAGAAGUAGAAACUACCCUUUAUCUCCUUUUCAUCCUUAUAACCAAUCUUCUUCAGUCACAUUUGGUGGCUCCCCUUCCUUGUCUCACCCACUAGCUGGGGAUAUUUCCCAAGGAAGACCACAUUCUUUUCUUUCCUUUUCUCCCUCAGGUGUCUCAGGCCUCCGGAUAGCCUACCUCUUAUCAUCAGAUGAUUUUCAAGUCAAUAUCUAGCUCUCCCCUUUAUCCAGAGUUAUGCUUCUGCAGCUCCAAAUGCCUGUGGAUUGCUCUACGUGCAUAUCCCAGUCAUUUCAAAUUCAAGAUGUAGAGCUCAACUCUCCCCUCCAAAAUUGAUUCUCCUUCUCAUCCCUCAAUUUCUGUUAGUGGCAUUAUUGCUCUCUCACUCUCUGGGCUCCAAUCUCAACUUAUCUUUGAUCAUUCCUCUUCCAUAGCCCACUUCUAAGCAGCUCCUCCCCACCACACCUUGCUCAGAGAAGUAAGCCCUAGCCUUUCCUUGAGCAUAAAUUGAAGGGUGGUAGCAGGUAUAAGCCUGGGGUCACACAUUCCAACAGGAUUCCAUCACAGGUGCAUCUGACCCACCACAAAAGGGAAGAGAGAACACGAUGAAUAUCUUUUGUUUUGGCCUGCCCAGUGUCCCUUCUUCUAGUAAUGGAAUCAUCUCUUCAUUUGGAGAAGACAACCCUCCCCCAUUAUCCAUCCACAGUUUUCAAGUGGGGCUGACUCACUUCCCAGCUCCAAAAGCCUGGGCACCUGAAUCAGGCCAGACUAAUCAGAGUCAGAGAGAGUGGACCAGGAAUGGACAUGUGACUCAAUCUAGGCCAAUGGAAAUCAUUCCAGUUGAUGGAAAAUAAUUGUGAAACUUUCUGAUGGCUGUUUCUGUCGUGACUUGGGAGGCCGCUAGCUGAGAAUAAGGACCAGACAAAAGAGAGAUGGAGCACUGAAGACAUCUUUGACUAUCUAGAUCCAACCGUGUUUGAAGCCAAACAAUCCCUACACUUACACACGUGAUGGGAGUAUACUUCCAUAUCCUCUUUGAAGUUAGAUGUGGAACGGGACCUGCUUUGACCAAUGACAUGGGAGCAGAUAUUUUAAGAGCCAAUACAAAUUCUCCCACUUCU
rnacentral:lncRNA from 1 species